rnacentral:rRNA from 1 species
GGUUAAGUGACUAAGCGUACACGGUGGAUGCCUAGGCAGUCAGAGGCGAUGAAGGACGUGCUAAUCUGCGAUAAGCGUCGGUGAGCUGAUAUGAAGCAUUAUUAGCCGGCGAUGUCCGAAUGGGGAAACCCAGUGCAAUCCGUUGCACUAUCGUUAAGUGAAUCCAUAGCUUAACGAGGCGAACCAGGGGAACUGAAACAUCUAAGUACCCUGAGGAAAAGAAAUCAACCGAGAUUCCCCCAGUAGCGGCGAGCGAACGGGGAAGAGCCCAGAACCUGAAUCAGUUUGUGCAUUAGUGGAAGCGUCUGGAAAGUCGCGCGAUACAGGGUGAUAGCCCCGUACACGAAGGUGCACAGCUGUGAGUUCGAUGAGUAGGGCGGGACACGUGUUAUCCUGUCUGAAUAUGGGGGGACCAUCCUCCAAGGCUAAAUACUCCUGACUGACCGAUAGUGAACCAGUACCGUGAGGGAAAGGCGAAAAGAACCCCGGCGAGGGGAGUGAAAUAGAACCUGAAACCGUGUACGUACAAGCAGUGGGAGCACCUUUUGGGUGUGACUGCGUACCUUUUGUAUAAUGGGUCAGCGACUUAUAUUUUGUAGCAAGGUUAACCGAAUAGGGGAGCCGUAGGGAAACCGAGUCUUAACUGGGCGUCUAGUUGCAAGGUAUAGACCCGAAACCCGGUGAUCUAGCCAUGGGCAGGUUGAAGGUUGGGUAACACUAACUGGAGGACCGAACCGACUAAUGUUGAAAAAUUAGCGGAUGACUUGUGGCUGGGGGUGAAAGGCCAAUCAAACCGGGAGAUAGCUGGUUCUCCCCGAAAGCUAUUUAGGUAGCGCCUCGUGAACUCAUCUUCGGGGGUAGAGCACUGUUUCGGCUAGGGGGUCAUCCCGACUUACCAACCCGAUGCAAACUACGAAUACCGAAGAAUGUUAUCACGGGAGACACACGGCGGGUGCUAACGUCCGUCGUGAAGAGGGAAACAACCCAGACCGCCAGCUAAGGUCCCAAAGUCAUGGUUAAGUGGGAAACGAUGUGGGAAGGCACAGACAGCCAGGAUGUUGGCUUAGAAGCAGCCAUCAUUUAAAGAAAGCGUAAUAGCUCACUGGUCGAGUCGGCCUGCGCGGAAGAUGUAACGGGGCUAAACCAUGCACCGAAGCUGCGGCAGCGACGCUUAGGCGUUGUUGGGUAGGGGAGCGUUCUGUAAGCCGUUGAAGGUGGCCUGUGAGGGCUGCUGGAGGUAUCAGAAGUGCGAAUGCUGACAUAAGUAACGAUAAAGCGGGUGAAAAGCCCGCUCGCCGGAAGACCAAGGGUUCCUGUCCAACGUUAAUCGGGGCAGGGUAAGUCGACCCCUAAGGCGAGGCCGAAAGGCGUAGUCGAUGGGAAACAGGUUAAUAUUCCUGUACUUGGUGUUAUUGCGAAGGGGGGACGGAGAAGGCUAGACCGGCCGGGCGACGGUUGUCCCGGUUUAAGCGUGUAGGUGUGAUGACCUGGCAAAUCCGGUUAUCUUUAACACUGAGGCGUGAUGACGAGGCACUACGGUGCUGAAGUGGUUAAUGCCCUGCUUCCAGGAAAAGCCUCUAAGCUCCAGAUAACACUGAAUCGUACCCCAAACCGACACAGGUGGUCAGGUAGAGAAUACCAAGGCGCUUGAGAGAACUCGGGUGAAGGAACUAGGCAAAAUGGUGCCGUAACUUCGGGAGAAGGCACGCUGGCAUGUAGGUGAAGUCCCUUGCGGAUGGAGCCGAAGCCAGUCGAAGAUACCAGCUGGCUGCAACUGUUUAAUAAAAACACAGCACUCUGCAAACACGAAAGUGGACGUAUAGGGUGUGACGCCUGCCCGGUGCUGGAAGGUUAAUUGAUGGGGUCAGCCGCAAGGCGAAGCUCUUGAUCGAAGCCCCAGUAAACGGCGGCCGUAACUAUAACGGUCCUAAGGUAGCGAAAUUCCUUGUCGGGUAAGUUCCGACCUGCACGAAUGGCGUAAUGAUGGCCAGGCUGUCUCCACCCGAGACUCAGUGAAAUUGAACUCGCUGUGAAGAUGCAGUGUACCCGCGGCAAGACGGAAAGACCCCGUGAACCUUUACUAUAGCUUGACACUGAACAUUGAACCUUGAUGUGUAGGAUAGGUGGGAGGCUUUGAAGUGUGGACGCCAGUCUGCAUGGAGCCGACCUUGAAAUACCACCCUUUAAUGUUUGAUGUUCUAACCUGGUCCCGUGAUCCGGGAUAGGGACAGUGUCUGGUGGGUAGUUUGACUGGGGCGGUCUCCUCCCAAAGAGUAACGGAGGAGCACGAAGGUUAGCUAAUCCUGGUCGGACAUCAGGAGGUUAGUGCAAAGGCAUAAGCUAGCUUGACUGCGAGAGUGACGGCUCGAGCAGGUGCGAAAGCAGGUCUUAGUGAUCCGGUGGUUCUGAAUGGAAGGGCCAUCGCUCAACGGAUAAAAGGUACUCCGGGGAUAACAGGCUGAUACCGCCCAAGAGUUCAUAUCGACGGCGGUGUUUGGCACCUCGAUGUCGGCUCAUCACAUCCUGGGGCUGAAGUAGGUCCCAAGGGUAUGGCUGUUCGCCAUUUAAAGUGGUACGCGAGCUGGGUUUAGAACGUCGUGAGACAGUUCGGUCCCUAUCUGCCGUGGGCGUUGGAAGAUUGAGAGGGGCUGCUCCUAGUACGAGAGGACCGGAGUGGACGCACCGCUGGUGUUCGGGUUGUGAUGCCAAUUGCAUUGCCCGGUAGCUACGUGCGGAAAAGAUAAGCGCUGAAAGCAUCUAAGCGCGAAACUUGCCUCGAGAUGAGUCUUCCCUUGGACCUUGAGUCCACUGAAGGAACGUUUAAGACUAAGACGUUGAUAGGCUGGGUGUGUAAGCGUAGCGAUACGUUGAGCUAACCAGUACUAAUGAUCCGAGAGGCUUAACCUU